GCAUGGUUUUGCAUCUCUCUCAUCGGACGAUAAGCUCUAACAUUUAAUUUAUAUAUUUUUAUUUAUAUUAUUUUAUCAUUUAUUAACUAAUAUAAUAUUCUUUGUAUUAGAUAUUUUGCACUCAAGUUCAGAGAAUAGAGGGUCACUAGUGACCCCACAGUCGCAUGCAGUGGCGACCAUCGACUCUCAGAUACAGCACCGUGGUUG
rnacentral:lncRNA from 1 species